UACGAAGGGGGCUAGCGUUGUUCGGAAUUACUGGGCGUAAAGCGCGCGCAGGCGGCUAUCCAAGUCAGUGGUGAAAGCCCGGAGCUCAACUCCGGAACUGCCAUUGAAACUGUUUAGCUUGAGGAUGAGAGAGGUGAGUGGAAUUCCCAGUGUAGAGGUGAAAUUCGUAGAUAUUGGGAAGAACACCGGUGGCGAAGGCGGCUCACUGGCUCGAUUACUGACGCUCAGGCGCGAUAGCGUGGGGAUCAAACAGG
rnacentral:rRNA from 1 species